AAAAACAUUGUUGACUCGAAUUUACUCGGGGUUUUUUACAACAACAUUUGCAGCGAUCAUCAGUAUUCUAGCUACAAUCCACAUGAAAUGUGUGGUUUGGACAGCAGCGAGCUCCAGCAGGGAUGAUGACCUCUUGAGUGAUGAAGAUGUGAUGUCUUACACCUACGGGGACGACAACCAGCUUUGGACCUUGGCGCUUGCACAUGCAGCAUGAAGCGUGUCCUCUAGAUGUGCUGGGAAAUGGGAGAGGAAUGGAUGGAGGACUGAAUGGAGGAGCUUCAGUGGAUUGUGCUGGAACCUGCUGUACCCUGCUGGGGAUACUGAUUUUCUUUUUGAUGUGAUGCUGGCACAUACAUCUGCAUUUGUUACAGAGAAAGUCACUGUGUGAUGGAGUCCUUCCUGUUAAUUUGGCAAUAAAAGCUCUAUUUCUAGACGAUAUUAUGUGCCUAUCCUUCUGUCUUACUCUUUUAGGACAGUUGAAACAGCCAUAGUGUUUUUGACCAGAGCCUGGCAUUUCUGAAAUAUUUAUUUUAAUAAAAUACAAUGUUAAGGGAAAAAAUUUUAAAACACACAGUUAUGUAUUAUACCCUGUCUAAAGUCUCUGCUUCCACCAUUUUUUUCAUAAUAUUUUGAUUAUCAAUCAAUCAUAAUACCUUUUUUUACCAAAUAACCAAUCGGUCAAUUUACUGAAAUGAAAAAGUCUAGAUUUUCUGUUCUUAAACACCCUUCUUCUGUUUAGAAUUUGAAUAAACAACCAAAAUAAGAAAGUCUGCGGGGAUUUUGCAUUGCAAACAAAAUGAAGAGUACCCAGAUGAGUUAGUUGAAAAAAUGUGCAAGGUGUUCCAAAUACUUUGGAAUGGAGAAAGAUUUAAACAUUUUCCAUUAUUAAUUUGUUUUCUUUCAUGUUAAAUUUUUCAGGUAAAAAAAGUGAAGAAUCAAAUUGUAAAUGACAAAAUUAUAAUUUCCCCCUUGUUUCAAUUUGUCAGGUAUUUGUACCGGUAUUAUCUUAAAAAUUCAUUAAAAAAAUGGCUGGAAACUGUAACAUGAGACAGACUAUAAAAUGUAUACAAGAAUAUGCUGCAAAUCAUUUAUUAAUUUGCAAUUUUUAUGUUGCUUAACAAUAACACCAACAAAACUGGGGGGUGGGGGGGGGGGGGUCACAAUAUGCUGAUGUUUUGAUAUGCUGUUCAUUUUCUUUUUUUAAUUGAUAAACAUUUCCUGUUGUCAAGUUCAUUUUCACAAUAUUAAAUAAAGGUAAUUGUACAGUGUAGUAUAAAG
rnacentral:sRNA from 1 species